AAGCUCGCCUCUCUGCUCAAUGUCUGAAUGAGACUUGAGCGGGAAGGUGGCGGAGUUCUUCCUUUCGUCUUUCCCACAAGGAGGGGGAACCUUGGUCCAGCUCCCUCGGCGCGAUAUUACCGAUAUUCUCCCCAUCAGGUGGAUCUGGAGCGGCAACUCGCGAGGCCUUAAAAGAACAGCAGGCAGCCGGUUGCUUUUCGCUGCAACCUGGAGUAAGGCCUGCGGGAACUACGCGACCCAGAGUGCAGCGGGUGCGGCUCCCGGCAUGCUCGGCGGCGGAAUUCCCGCCGAGCCGCCGCCGCUCGCUCCGCCGCCGCUUCAGCGCUGCCGCGAGCCCCGGCCCUCCUCCCGCCGCGGCUUACGCGCUCACGGAGUGCCGGGGAGGGCCGGUCGCCGAGGCCUUCUCCAUGAGAGUCAGAGGAGGCCCUCUCCCACUGGAUGAAGCACAAAUCUCCGGCUCUUUAACUAACAUACAGAAAUUUUCGUCUUGCCACCUACAGAUCUGAAACCUGAAGUGAUUCGAUCGCCUUUUCAUCAAUAACAAAGAAUGCCCUCGCUACAGUGUUCAUUAGUGGUUGGUUGGAUAAACAAGAUGUGGUACGCACGCGCAAAGGAGUGUGGUUCCGUCUUAAAGAGGAUGGAAAGUCGGACGCGUCCUCCAUGAUGGAUAAACCCGGAAGACAUUACGCUAAGUGAGACAAGCCAGUCAUAAAAGGACACACUUUAUGAUCCCAUUUAUUUGUGCUGUCUGGAGUGGUCAAACUUGUAGAGAUGGAAAGUAACGUGGUGGCUGCCAGGGAUAGGGGUGACAAAGUUCUGGAGAUAAACGGCAGUGAACGCUGCACAAAAUGUGAAUGUACUUAACGCCUCUGAAUCGUACACUU